GAUUUUUAUAUCUGUAAGGAUCUGGAAAUUGUUGUCUGCGGUCAGUGUCACUGAUUUAGACAGUAUCUCCCAGCUCUUCUUUGGAUGAUUCUUAA